rnacentral:rRNA from 1 species
CUGGGCUUGACAUGUGCCUGAUCCCCCUGGAAACAGGGGUUCCCUUCGGGGCAGGUUCACAGGUGGUGCAUGGCUGUCGUCAGCUCGUGUCGUGAGAUGUUGGGUUAAGUCCCGCAACGAGCGCAACCCCCGUCGCAUGUUGCCAGCAUUUAGUUGGGGACUCAUGCGAGACUGCCGGUGACAAACCGGAGGAAGGUGGGGAUGACGUCAAGUCAUCAUGCCCCUUAUGUCCAGGGCUACACACGUGCUACAUUGGCGCGUACAGAGGGCUGCGAUACCGCGAGGUGGAGCGAAUCCCUUAAAGCGCGUCUCGGUUCGGAUUGCAGGCUGAAACCCGCCUGCAUGAAGGCGGAGUUGCUAGUAAUCGCGGAUCAGCAUUGCCGCGGUGAAUACGUUCCC